rnacentral:lncRNA from 1 species
CUUACUGUAGAUUGCUAUCUUGGAAGAACAAUUCUUUGAUUAGUCCCCAACAUUAUUUAUGGACUGUUGACAAUAAUUCAAAACAUUAAUGAAAGAGAUGCAAACCCAGGGAAUCCUACUAAUACAAAGACUUUUAGUUUAAGGGGACGCAACCUAUAUGUAACCAGAACAUUCAACUGGACUUCAACUUAUUAUUGGUGGCUCAUCACCCUCUGGGGGCUUAGGUACACCUGGAGGGAAAAUACUAGGGAGGUCUAUGAGGGUGAUGCCCGGGUUGGUCUCUCAGGACAAGGAGGGUGAGGUGGGUGAGGUGGAUGAGGAGGAUGAGGCGGGUGAGGAGGGAAUGGUCGUGGCGGUGGCCGUGGUGGUGGAGGCUCUGCAUAGCCACACAUCCCAUACAGGCAUCGGACUCUCCAAGGGCAUCUGUUAC